CACAAAGCAACAACUUGUAUCGUCACCUCAGGUAAAAAUGAAAUAUUGUUUAAUCUGGACAGAGCAAGUCAUUUUCACAAAGCAACAACUUGUAUCGUCACCUCAGGAAAAAUUGAGUUAUUGUUUAAUCUGGUCAGAGACGGGGCGUUUGAACAAAGCAACAACUUGUAUCGGCACCUCAGGGCCAGUAAGGAAUGUGCUGGUACAGUGGCUAUACCCGACGAUCUUCGAAGUUGCAGAUAUUAGCAAUAACAUUUUGUUGUUUUAUUAGAAUAUAUGUUUUACCUUCUUUGUAAAGGAUACGAGUAAAAAUAAAUGAAAGGGUAUAAUUGCAAGCAGUAAAAAGUGCGAUUAUAAUAAGUUUUGCAUUGUAAUACAAUUCGUAAGAUACCA